AGAGUUUGAUCCUGGCUCAGGAUGAACGCUAGCGGCAGGCCUAAUACAUGCAAGUCGAGCGGCAGCGGCCCACUUCGGUGGGGCCGGCGAGCGGCGCACGGGUGCGUAACGCGUAUACAACUUGCCCCGGGGAGGGGAAUAGCCCGGUGAAAACCGGAUUAAUGCCCCGUGGUCCACGGAGCCGGCAUCGGCACCGUGGUAAAGCUUCGGCGCCCCGGGAUGGGUAUGCGUCCAAUUAGCCAGUUGGUGGGGUAACGGCCCACCAAGGCGACGAUUGGUAGGGGGCCUGAGAGGGUGGUCCCCCACACUGGUACUGAGACACGGACCAGACUCCUACGGGAGGCAGCAGUAGGGAAUAUUGGUCAAUGGGCGAGAGCCUGAACCAGCCAUGCCGCGUGCAGGAAGAAGGCCCUUGGGUCGUAAACUGCUUUUCUGCAGGAAGAAAAGGGCGGUGCGCCGCCUAUUGACGGUACUGCAGGAAUAAGCACCGGCUAACUACGUGCCAGCAGCCGCGGUAAUACGUAGGGUGCAAGCGUUGUCCGGAUUUACUGGGUUUAAAGGGUGCGCAGGCGGGCCGGUAAGUCAGUGGUGAAAGCCCGGGGCUCAACCCCGGAACUGCCAUUGAUACUGCCGGUCUUGAGUACGCGUGAGGCGGGCGGAAUUCGUGGUGUAGCGGUGAAAUGCAUA
rnacentral:rRNA from 1 species